CCUACGGGGGGCUGCAGUGGGGAAUAUUGCACAAUGGGGGAAACCCUGAUGCAGCGACGCCGCGUGAGCGAUGAAGGAUUUCGGAGUGUAAAGCUCUAUUAGUAGGGAAGAAAAUGACGGUACCUGACUAAGAAGCCCCGGCUAACUCCGUGCCAGCAGCCGCGGUAAUACGUAGGGGGCAAGCGUUAUCCGGAUUUACUGGGUGUAAAGGGAGUGUAGACGGUCCUGCAAGCCAGAUGUGAAAGCCCGGGGCUCAACCCCGGGACUGCAUUUGGAACUGUAAGGCUAGAGUAUCGGAGAGGCAGGCGGAAUGCCUAGUGUAGCGGUGAAAUGCGUAGAGAUUAGGAGGAACACCAGUUGCGAAGGCGGCCUGCUGGACGAUGACUGACGUUGAGGCUCGAAAGCGUGGGGAGCAAACAGGAUUAGAUACCCGUGUAGUC
rnacentral:rRNA from 1 species